GAAAAUAGCCCUUGACAUACAAGCUAGAUUGUGCUAUAUAACAAUGAAUGUAACUGUGACCUGUAAGCUGAGAAGGAAGACUGGUGCAAAGAAACAGUAUCUGAUAUUUCAUCAGACUUGGAAUGAAAUGCUGUUGACUGAACUGAUAGAGAGCAUAGAGAAACGACCGCUGUGUUCUAUUUGGGCGAAGUACGAUCAUGUAGAUAGUGUGGACCAAACUACAUUGAGUUAUUUUUACGCAGUUUGCAAAGAUCCAGUCUACACCCAGUACCCAGAAAGUUGCCCGAAAUU